rnacentral:rRNA from 1 species
AUUGAACGCUAGCUACAGGCUUAACACAUGCAAGUCGAGGGGCAGCGCAGUGUAGCAAUACAUGGGCGGCGACCGGCGCACGGGUGCGUAACGCGUAUCCAACCUUCCCGUUACUCAGGGAUAGCCUUCCGAAAGGGAGAUUAAUACCUGAUGGUGUUGAAAUUCCGCAUGUUAUUUCAACUAAAGAUUUAUCGGUAACGGAUGGGGAUGCGUGACAUUAGAUAGUAGGCGGGGUAACGGCCCACCUAGUCUACGAUGUCUAGGGGUUCUGAGAGGAAGGUCCCCCACACUGGGACUGAGACACGGUCCAGACUCCUACGGGAGGCAGCAGUGAGGAAUAUUGGUCAAUGGUCGGAAGACUGAACCAGCCAAGUAGCGUGAAGGAUGAAGGUUCUAUGGAUUGUAAACUUCUUUUAUACGGGAAUAAAACCUCCCACGUGUGGGAGCUUGUAUGUACCGUAUGAAUAAGCAUCGGCUAACUCCGUGCCAGCCGCCGCGGUAAGAC